rnacentral:ncRNA from 1 species
ACUCGCGCCGACGACAGUUUUAGGCGGGGAGUUUCACUGGGGCGGUAUAUUUGUCAAAUCGUAAAGCAGGUGUCCUUAGGGCUAGCUCAGAGAGGACGGAAACCUCUUGUAGAGCAAAAGGGCAAAAACUCGUCUGAUCUUGAUUUCCAGUAAGAAUACAGACCGCGAAAGCGUGGCCUAGCGAUCCUUUUGAAUUAGAAGGUCUCUAGCAAGAGGUGUCUGUUAA